rnacentral:rRNA from 1 species
ACUGCUCAGUAACACGUGGAUAACCUGCCCUGCGGUGGGAAAUAACCCCGGGAAACUGGGGAUAAUGUCCCAUAGACUGCGGAUACUGGAAUGUUCUGUAGUUCAAAGAUUUAUCGCCACAGGAUGGGUCUGCGGCCGAUUAGGUAGUUGUUGGGGUAACGGCCCAACAAGCCUUUGAUCGGUACGGGUUGUGGGAGCAAGAGCCCGGAGAUGGAUUCUGAGACACGAAUCCAGGCCCUACGGGGCGCAGCAGGCGCGAAAACUUUACAAUGCGGGAAACCGUGAUAAGGGAACUCCGAGUGUCCGUAAAUGCGGACUGUCCGUAUGUUUAAAAAGCAUGCGAAGAAAGGGCCGGGCAAGACCGGUGCCAGCCGCCGCGGUAAUACCGGCGGCUCGAGUGGUGGCCACUAUUACUGGGCUUAAAGCGUUCGUAGCUGGGUUGUUAAGUCUCUUGGGAAAUCUAUCGGCUUAACCGAUAGGCGUCCAAGGGAUACUGGCAAUCUAGGGACCGGGAGAGGUGAGGGGUACUUCAGGGGUAGGAGUGAAAUCCUGUAAUCCUUGGGGGACCACCUGUGGCGUAGGCGCCUCACCAGAACGGCUCCGACAGUGAGGGACGAAAGCUGGGGGAGCAAACCGGAUUAGAUACCCGGGUAGUCCCAGCCGUAAACGAUGCGCGUUAGGUGUAUCGAUGACCACGAGUCAUCGAGGUGCCGAAGGGAAACCGUGAAACGCGCCGCCUGGGAAGUACGGUCGCAAGGCUGAAACUUAAAGGAAUUGGCGGGGGAGCAC